UACAGAGGGGCAAGCGUUGUUCGGAAUUACUGGGCGUAAAGGGCGCGUAGGCGGCCUGCUAAGUCGAACGUGAAAUCCCCGAGCUCAACUCGGGAACUGCGUCCGAUACUGGCAGGCUUGAAUCCGGGAGAGGGAUGCGGAAUUCCAGGUGUAGCGGUGAAAUGCGCAGAUAUCAGGAGGAACACCGGUGGCGAAGGCGGGACUCUGGGCCGAUACUGACGCUGAGGAGCGAAAGCGUGGGGAGCGAACAGG
rnacentral:rRNA from 1 species